GGUGCAGUGAGUCCUGGGGAGAGUGUUUUCAAGAGAUUUGAUAAUAUGCGGAAUAGUUUGGGUUUGUUAAAGAAGAAAGAGAAGACGCCCAAACGAGAACCCAUGACCCCUGUACCUGAUGCAGAGGUCACAGCACAGAACACAGAGGUCAAAAAGGUCACGCAAAGGGCAGAGGUCAGCGAGUCAUACACCCUGCCCCCCGUUCCCUCCACAUCACCCUCAGGUGCAGUGAGUCCUGGGGAGAGUGUUUUCAAGAGAUUUGAUAAUAUGCGGAAUAGUUUGGGUUUGUUAAA